rnacentral:tRNA from 1 species
UCCCUGGUGGUUCAGUGGCUAAGACUCUGCACUCCCAUUGCAGCGGCCUAGGUUCAAUCUCUAGUCAGGGAA